rnacentral:tRNA from 2 species
GGCUCGGUGGCCAAGUGGUAAGGCGUGAGUCUGCAAAACUCUUAUACGUGGGUUCGAUUCCCACCCGAGCCUCAA